rnacentral:rRNA from 1 species
GAGUUUGAUCUUGGCUCAGAUUGAACGCUGGCGGCAUGCCUUACACAUGCAAGUCGAACGGCAGCAUGAUCUAGCUUGCUAGAUUGAUGGCGAGUGGCGAACGGGUGAGUAAUACAUCGGAACGUGCCCUGUAGUGGGGGAUAACUAGUCGAAAGAUUAGCUAAUACCGCAUACGACCUGAGGGUGAAAGUGGGGGACCGCAAGGCCUCAUGCUAUAGGAGCGGCCGAUGUCUGAUUAGCUAGUUGGUGGGGUAAAGGCCCACCAAGGCGACGAUCAGUAGCUGGUCUGAGAGGACGAUCAGCCACACUGGGACUGAGACACGGCCCAGACUCCUACGGGAGGCAGCAGUGGGGAAUUUUGGACAAUGGGCGAAAGCCUGAUCCAGCAAUGCCGCGUGUGCGAAGAAGGCCUCGGUGU